rnacentral:rRNA from 1 species
CUGGCUCAGGAUGAACGCUGGCGGCGCGCCUAACACGAUGCAAGUCGAACGGUGAAGGUCCCUUCGGGGGCGGAGUCAGUGGCGGACGGGUGAGUAACGCGUGAGUAACCUGCCCUUACGAGCGGAAUAACGUCCGGAACCAGACGCUAAUACCGCAUGACACGUGCUUCCGGCAUCGGAGGCACGUCAAAGAUUUAUCGCGUAAGGAUGGACUCGCGUCCCAUUAGAUAGUUGGCGGGGCAACGGCCCACCAAGUCAGCGAUGGGUAGCCGGACUGAGAGGUUGAACGGCCACAUUGGAACUGAGAGACGGUCCAGACUCCUACGGGAGGCAGCAGUGGGGAAUAUUGGGCAAUGGGCGAAAGCCUGAACCCCCAGCGACGCCGCGUGAGCGAAGAAGGUCUUCGGAUUGUAAAGCUCUGUUGACAGGGACGAAAAAAUGACGGUACCUGUCGAGGAAGCCACGGCUAACUACGUGCCAGCCGCGGC